rnacentral:rRNA from 1 species
GACGAACGCUGGCGGCGUGCUUAACACAUGCAAGUCGAACGGAAAGGCCCUGCUUUUGUGGGGUGCUCGAGUGGCGAACGGGUGAGUAACACGCGAGUAACCUGCCCUUGACUUUGGGAUAACUUCAGGAAACUGGGGCUAAUACCGGAUAGGAGCUCCUGCUGCAUGGUGGGGGUUGGAAAGUUUCGGCGGUUGGGGAUGGACUCGCGGCUUAUCAGCUUGUUGAUGGGGUAGUGGCUUACCAAGGCUUUGACGGGUAGCCGGCCUGAGAGGGUGACCGGCCACAUUGGGACUGAGAUACGGCCCAGACUCCUACGGGAGGCAGCAGUGGGGAAUAUUGCACAAUGGGCGGAAGCCUGAUGCAGCAACGCCGCGUGCGGGAUGACGGCCUUCGGGUUGUAAACCGCUUUCGCCUGUGACGAAGCGUGAGUGACGGUAAUGGGUAAAGAAGCACCGGCUAACUACGUG